CAGAUAACUUCCUGGAAUGCUGGAGGUUGUGGUUCAAGUAAGAUAAGAAGCCACCAGUUUUCACUUCAAUAAACAAGGUUGGUUGUCCCAGUGUGCUGGAGGUGCGUCGGCAGAAAGUACAUCAGUAUGUAUGCUGGCUCCAAUAGAGAGAAGGCAGGAAAAGAUGUAACCUGUGAGGGUUGCCUUCAUAAUGCCAUGGACUAACACAACCCACAGCCGUUCUCUGGGAAUCCCAGGUGACCUCCAGUAUCUUGGUCCCACAUAGCUCAGGGUGAAGAGCUGAGUAAUCCUGAACCUGGGGCUGCUGCCGGAACAACCUUUCACACAGUGCCCACUGCUCCCGGUUGCACAACAUGUUUGACUGCGAGAGAUAAACGCCAGGUUUACAUUUGACUCCAGUCACCUUCGGGGCCAGCAGCCGGAGCCUGUAAACAGCACCCACUCCUUUAGAAAGGCGCGACUUUCCCAAAGUCCUGCCUUCCGAGCGCUGCGCCAGGCUGGGAGGAGGUGGACAAGGAAGGGGAGUAUUCCAAAGAAAAAGGAGGCUACAAGCAAGCUCUCGACUCUGUUUAGGAAGAAAAGGAAGAGCCGAGCUGAAGCAUUGGCCCUGCGGGGGGUGGGGGUGGGGCUCAUUUUGUGAACUGGAAUUUAAGAACUAAAACUAGUCCCCCUAACGUGUUUCUGUUUACCCAUCAGAAAUCAAUCUCUGAUUGGAGCAGGUACUUUUUCCUCCGUAAAACAGGCCAAAGAGGAAACGGAACUGUCUUAGUACUAAAAUAAUCUGUAAUUUAAUUGAUGUUGCAUGUUAGGCUUAUUGAAGACACCACUAUGAGAAGAUUCUGUGCUUUGUUUUCUGACACUGAAAACUGCAGGGUGGGGGCGAGAAAAAUCCCCCCACGACUUCACACAGGUUAUAGGAGGAAAACUAAUAGUCGAGAAGGAGGGAUUUCAGUGGAUUCUUUCAAGAAUAAACAUGUCUUACUCAGAUCUUGAAGCCUGUGACUAUCGAGUACAUCUAAGUACAUCGAGUUCCUUCUGUUGGUUGAAGCUAGGUUUGCUGCGUCUUGAGUCCAGAUGGAACAAUGACACUAAGACAAAGCCUUAAGCAAUUUUGUUUGCUAAUAAGAUGUCAGACCACUAAUGAAAGGGCAGCUUGCUUUGGCUUAGGAGAGCAAGCUUCCCAUAGAAAGCAGCUCCUAAGUGUGAAAGAGCAAUAUUUGAUUCCCUUCCUCCCUAGUGGUAAAAAAGAUGUUUUUGAGUGGCUAGCAGAGAGGAAGAGAAGGCUAGCCGUCUACUGAUAAGAUAGGAUCAUAGGAACAUUUGUUUGGUUUUGCUUUGCAGAUGGGGACUGAAGCCAGGGAAGCUUGCCUGCUAGGCAAGCACGCUGUCACUGAAUUAUCCCUCCCCACCCCCACCCCUCCGGCCCACAUAGGGAAAAUUCUGUAGUCGUUAAGAUCGCUGUCGGUCCAGCUGCCCUUCUCCAAGACUGAGUAAGACAUUGUGAGCUCUUUAAGAAGGAGAAUCACUUCAUAGUUAAAUUAUGCUCAUGGACAUUACACGUGCCCGUUCAUUAAUAUUUAGGGAACACACCGGCCUCAGCAGUUCCAAACACCUGAGUAUAGACAAUGCUUCUUCCAAUGUGGACAGGAGUAAAACACCAAAGUUCAUCUUCUGAAUAAUGAACCACCAGCUUCAGAGUGUAAAUGCUGCCUCCUCCAGAGGCUAAGGGCCUCUCUUCCCAACCCUACUCCCCUCUAUUCUCCCACUUCCUUCUCCC
rnacentral:lncRNA from 1 species